UGUCCAAAAGCCUUGUUGGUCCCGCGGUACAUGCUUCCUGUUCCCAGAGAGAUUCACCCUUGGGCUUUCCUAUCAGUCUUCCCUAAAGUUGGCUGCUCCUGUGUCCUGUCACAUAAAACUGUGAACCGAGGUCUCCGACUUACGUCAUGUCAGUCACAGCAGGGUGAGGCUCCACAAGUGUGAGUUCUGGCCCCUGCUGCUUUCCUUUCAAAUGCAGUUUACAGUUUAUUAUGGUAUUGGACACCCCAUGCUCCUUACUGCAUUGGCUUUGGGUAAGAAAGAGUGAAAAUUAAUGUGCAAACCUGAAAACCUAGAAUUUCUGAUUGGAACUGAAGAAAACCUUUGUGCUGCAGUCAGUCACCGAGCCAGACGCCUGUGACUCUCUUCACAUGGAAAUAGAUGACUAUCCACAGUAAAAGCAAAAUAGAGAAUUAAAAAGCGACUUGUGAAAAAUAUCCUCCAUGCUCCUCUUACCAAGCCUGCAACUUAAAACCUAUGGUUUAAACUGUGCUUUCAAUUAUUUGGAGGAGGCCAGCACUGAUGAGCCCAUCCUGAGACAGUCAUUUUAAGGCCAGUGCUGCCUAACUGGGACAAGGCUAUUCUGGUUGACCUCAAAGAAAAGUGUUUCGGAGGAGAAAAAAAGAAAAGGAGGAAUAAUAACAUGACCUGCUAUCCAAAAUGAACACAGAAGCACAGAUCACUUUCCAAAAUGUCCAUGAUUUCAGAACAUAAAUGCAGGCACACCCUUAAAAGAAGCAUUAGAGAGGAGAAAACCUGGCCAGCUUCCCAAAUCUCCCUGCAUCCAAUUGGACUGGGUGAUGACUGAGAUCAAAGGCAUGUGGUGAUUGGACAGAAGGCCAAGAGGAACUGGCAUCCUCAAGGCUGCUGGAAAUUAGCCAGCUCAAACACACCAAGCAAAACCAAAUUGGAAAUAAAGACAGGCGAGUAAUCAAAUGCACAUGGGGGCAUGCUUCACAAAAUGCGAACUUCAUGUGUUCCCAGAGGAGAAAUUGCCAGGUCUUCAACAGCAUAAACUCAAUAGGAAAAUCAAAACAUCCCCUUUUGCAACUUUAGAGCCUGAAUCUUUGGCUUCCACUUUAGGGAAAUGGGCAAAAUGACCUCUUUGUCAUAGUACGCACCAUGCUCCCUGCCCUCCUCCACUCCCAGACCCCUCUCCCCUAAGUAACUUUGUCUUUCAUUUUGUUUCUAAAGAAAAAAAAAAUGAGAUUUUUGCAAUUUGGGGCAUUCUCUCUGGAACAGCAAAUGUUCCCAGCUCUGCCGUUUACAAUGCCUUUGGUGGAAGGUCACCUCGGAGGUGUGAUUUUUCAGUAUAACAUAAUUUCUAUGGUGCCUUGACAUCCUCCGAUGAAGAGCACCAAUAGGACCACUCGUCUGACAUUAAGGAGAGGGUCCACUCAGGCACCAAAUGCCAUUCUCACCACUAAUCCUAAUCUUCCUUGUACUCCUUUUAUUACCUGCAUGUUAUGGUGAAAGAGGAUGGUUUAUGGUCCCAUUCCCCUACAUACACACUUUCCAACCCCAUACUCCCUUAGAAAUGUAGAGCAAAGUUUACGAAUUCUUUUCUGCAGGUUCUGAUUCACAGAGGGAGAGCAUCAGAAUGGGGGCUUUGGAUAGGAAAAACCUUGCAAAUUAGUGCCUGAAUAAAGAUAUAAAAAGAGAAAAGUGAAGGAAGAUAUUCUUCUCAAACUUGAUGCCCUUUCUCUCUGUCUCUGUCUGUAUACACACACACACACACACACACACACACACAUAUGGGUUACAUUUUCAUGGAGGACAACAGAGUAAAAUCCAGCAGCAUUUAAGGGAUUUCCUCUUGCCAAAUUGUCUCCGGUCCCUUAAUUGUGUUUAAGCCUUGCUGAGUACUUUGUUUACAGUCCCUAAUGUGGUGAUUUGCAUCCCCCUCUCUGGGUUGCUCUUGGCAGGGCAGGCAGCUGUCUCAGUCUAACUCUGGCUGGGAAAGCCUUGCUGUUAGAGGCUCUUUCCCAGAAGUUGGACGAAGAGGCUCAGGCGUUGCUGUUUCUUGUCUUCCAAGUCAAGUGGUUACUCUGGUAAUGGAUUGCCUCUCUCCGAGCUUUCACCCUGGUGAGACUGUCCAGAUCUAGUCUGUAAACCCAGCUUAGAAGCACUGUUGUAAAAAUGACUGAAGAGCCCAUCAAGGAGAUCCUGGGAGCCCCAAAGGCUCACAUGGCAGCGACGAUGGAGAAGAGCCCCAAGAGUGAAGUUGUGAUCACCACAGUCCCCCUGGUCAGUGAGAUUCAGUUGAUGGCUGCUACAGGGGGUACCGAGCUCUCCUGCUACCGCUGCAUCAUCCCCUUCGCUGUGGUUGUCUUCAUCGCCGGCAUCGUGGUCACCGCGGUGGCUUACAGCUUCAAUUCCCAUGGGUCUAUUAUCUCCAUCUUUGGCCUGGUUGUUCUGUCAUCUGGACUUUUUUUACUAGCCUCCAGUGCCUUGUGCUGGAAAGUGAGACAAAGGAGCAAGAAAGCCAAGAGACGGGAGAGUCAGACAGCUCUCGUGGCAAAUCAGAGAAGCUUGUUUGCUUGAGACUGAAUACGACCAAAUGGGCCAUUGGGCCUGGAAAACGUGCUCUGACUUUGUCACCCAAUUCACCCAGAACCAUGAUGGGAGAGAACAGACUUGGCGUUGGAGCAGACUGGAAGAAUGAGGGUGGGAGGGUGGAGGGGCUUCUCCUUUGUGAGGAAUGACUCAUGUCUUCUUUAACGACAAACUUAACCCUAAGGGCUACUUCUGAGACUGAAAAAUCAGCUUUCUAUUUACAUGAAACACUUUGGGGGUCAUGGGAGUGCACAGCAUUAGACAGUAUUUGGUUCACCCUGUAAAGUAGCCAAGAAAAGAUGAGAAAAAUCAAGAUAGGCCUGGCACACUAGACAUUUGCCUCCAAAAGAAAUAACCUACAGUCUUAAGAUGUAUCAUAAAAAUGUUCUGCCAAGGAUCUAAAUUACCUUGGGUUUCACAUAUGUCUAUGAAAUUCUGUGAUAAUUUUUUUCAAUACAUUGAUUCACUGGCGUCUGUUUUCAUUUUAUACUUUUAAUAACUCAUCACUGGUGGUACUUUAUCUUGAAAAGUAAACUAAUAUUUUUUAUAUUUUAACAUUGGACAGUGUUAGCCAGUUGUAAUGAUGUAUCAGAAGUAAAGAAAAACCCAUUAAAGUUAUAGCUAAUAGAUGUCGUUGGGGAUUAAAUUAAUAGUAAAAUAAUCCAAUAUAGCACUUUUGAUGAUUUUUAUAUAAAAGUCAACUGUACAUUUCAUUCAGAAUAAUAAAUACUUAUUGCUGCUAAAACUUCUUAAAUGGUUGUUUCUGCUAUAGUUAUUUCUAUUGCAGUUCCAAAUUGCCAUUUUCCUUUGUCUCAUUUGCAAGUUCUCAAUUGUAUUUCUCUCAAAUGGACAGGUUCCUUCUUUACUGGAGGAUUUUUGUUUUUAUCAUAUUGGUUUUUCAUUACUUCUGAAUGGUCUUAAUUACGUUUACUAAAUUCUAAAGGAUUUCUGUGCUAUUAUAAUUAGGAAAUCAACGUCUUUGGCCAGGAAAUUUAUAAUGUGCUAUUAAAUGUAUAUUACAUUUUUGUGGAA